rnacentral:misc_RNA from 1 species
UACGUAUGGUGCAAGCGUUAUCCGGAAUUAUUGGGCGUAAAGCGUCCGCAGGCGGUUGAACAUGUCUGGUGUAAAAUCCCGAAGCUCAACUUCGGAAUCGUACCGGAAACUAUUCAGCUAGAGAAGUGCAGAGGUAAGUGGAAUUCUGUAAGUAGGGGUAAAAUCCGUAGAUCUACAGAGGAACACCAAAAGCGAAGGCAGCUUACUGGGCACUUUCUGACGCUCAUGGACGAAAGCGUGGGGAGCAAACGGG